UAUAACAACAUGUACAUUGUAGUACUAGUAUAUUGAGUUUCGUUUGUGUGAUUAUAUAUGUGCUCUCAUUUUUCAUUCUUCUUUUAAUUUUGGGAUACAAUGAGAGGAGAUCAGAUAUUUUAGGAAGGACAACAUGUGGCGGAGCGUCUUCCAUCCCGGCGGCACCAACACCGUUUAUGACUGGCUUUACAGUGAGGAGACGAGGAGCAAGCACCACAAGAAAAAGAAAAUGUGAGCAAGCACCACAAGAAAAUGCCUGUAAUUAGUGCAUGUUUUGAGUGGUGAAAGAAAAGAACCACUAUAUAAGUACUAGUAUUAGUUAAUUAUGUUGUGAUGUACAUCUGGAUUUUCUAAAUUUCUGUGUCACGUAAUUGGUUUUAAUUUUUCAAGAUCACACGGUAUAUUUUAUAA